rnacentral:sRNA from 1 species
AAACAACUGCUAAACAUGAAUAACAGUUCUACGAGAGUUCUUUAUGCUCUCCUUGCAACUUCCUGUAGGUUUGAGAUUACCUGGAGAUAAAAAGUUAACAUCACCAGCACCGCCCGCCAGCCCGCCAGCCGAAAAGAGCGCAGGGCCUCCCGCGACGACGACUUGCUACUGCCCUAUCCACGCGCGCGCGCGCGCCUCCCCCGAGACUGCACACGGGUGCGCGCCGGCAGCCGCGAGCACGAGAGUUGGCCUCCGCCUCCCGCGACCCCCGGCGCCGGCGGUCUGGCCGUGCGCACCUUCGUGUCGCACUUCAGGGACCGCGCGGUGGCCGGCCACCUGACGCGGGCCGUUGAGCCCCUGCGCACCUUCUCGGUGCUGGAGCCCGGUGGGCCCGGCGGCUGCGCGGCGAGACGACGCGCCACCGUGGAGGAGACGGCGCGGGCGGCCGACUGCCGUGUCGCUCAGAACGGCGGCUUCUUCCGCAUGAACUCGGGCGAGUGCCUGGGGAACGUGGUGAGCGACGAGCGGCGGGUACCUGUCUGAGGAGGAGGUGCUGGACACUGAGAACCCAUU